GAGGAGUUCUAUUGUACUUGUCUUACUCAUGUGCCUUGUAGGUGAGUCGAAAAGGAUUUAAAAGUUAUUGAAAUAAGGAUGAUUGUUUAAAGUGUGUACUCAUGCAUUUUGCUCCAAGUUUCAAACAGUGGUCAACCUGCUGGCCAAGGUGAAAUGUGUGGAGGAUACGCCGGUACUAUGUGUGGAGAAGGUCUAAGGUGUGAUCAUUCUAGAGGAACUGCUGGAAAGUGCGUGCGAAGUCCGUUUGCUGUGGUUUUUCAUGGCCAGCAGUUCUAGAGGCGUGUGUGAGUUGGAUGACACCACUGUACAAUGUUCAAUUUUAAAUAUUUUGUUCUUAUCAAUUCGGAACCAAAUUCUCUGUUCACGGAUAAAAACAACAACAAAUAACUGUAUGAAUAAACCCUGUUGAAGGUGUGUUCAACUACCCUAAUGGUUAUGAAGUUUUGAUAUGUGGUCAUUUUCUUUUAUGCUCAUUUUUUGUUUGAUUUAUUUUCAUUAUUUUCAUUAAAUCAGUUUUUAUCUUCGCAUCCAUAUGUUUUUGUUUGUUAUUGUUAUUUGUUUUCUUUUGAAAAGGAAGCAAAUAUAACACUAUUACGCCAAAGUAAGUUAAUAUCAGGCUGUCCGGUAAGUGUAUUGGUUAGUACAUUCGUACGAAAAGAUCGCGACAAUAUUGCGGAAAAUCGUGCCAAUGAGAGUGAUCACAGAAGUUAAUAUACCAUUCUUUACAAACAAUAAUGAGUAAACUAAGCUUAUUGGCAUGUAUUGAUAACAAAAAUCAUGCAAGGUACUUGACACACACAUAAUUACCCUGUUCCAAAAAUCAAGA